UACAGAGGUGGCAAGCGUUGUUCGGAAUUACUGGGCGUAAAGGGCGCGUAGGCGGCCUUCUAAGUCAGACGUGAAAUCCCCCGGCUUAACCUGGGAACUGCGUCUGAUACUGGGAGGCUUGAGUAUGGGAGAGGGAUGUAGAAUUCCAGGUGUAGCGGUGAAAUGCGUAGAUAUUGGGAAGAACACCAGUGGCGUAAGCGACUUGCUGGGCUGUAACUGACGCUGAGGAACGAAAGCCAGGGUAGCGAAUGGG
rnacentral:rRNA from 1 species